UACGUAGGGGGCAAGCGUUGUCCGGAAUCAUUGGGCGUAAAGAGCGUGUAGGCGGUUCUGUAAGUCGGCUGUGAAAGUCCAGGGCUCAACCCUGGGAUGCCGGUCGAUACUGCCGGACUAGAGUUCGGAAGAGGCGAGUGGAAUUCCCGGUGUAGCGGUGAAAUGCGCAGAUAUCGGGAGGAACACCUAUGGCGAAGGCAGCUCGCUGGGACGUUACUGACGCUGAGACGCGAAAGCGUGGGGAGCAAACGGG
rnacentral:rRNA from 1 species